GAAUGCUGACAUAAGUAACGAUAAAGCGGGUGAAAAGCCCGCUCGCCGGAAGACCAAGGGUUCCUGUCCAACGUUAAUCGGGGCAGGGUGAGUCGACCCCUAAGGCGAGGCCGAAAGGCGUAGUCGAUGGGAAACAGGUUAAUAUUCCUGUACUUGGUGUUACUGCGAAGGGGGGACGGAGAAGGCUAUGUUGGCCGGGCGACGGUUGUCCCGGUUUAAGCGUGUAGGCUGGUUUUCCAGGCAAAUCCGGAAAACCAAGGCUGAGGCGUGAUGACGAGGCACUACGGUGCUGAAGCGACAAAUGCCCUGCUUCCAGGAAAAGCCUCUAAGCAUCAGGUAACAUCAAAUCGUACCCCAAACCGACACAGGUGGUCAGGUAGAGAAUACCAAGGCGCUUGAGAGAACUCGGGUGAAGGAACUAGGCAAAAUGGUGCCGUAACUUCGGGAGAAGGCACGCUGAUAUGUAGGUGAAGCGACUAGCUCGUGGAGCUGAAAUCAGUCGAAGAUACCAGCUGGCUGCAACUGUUUAUUAAAAACACAGCACUGUGCAAACACGAAAGUGGACGUAUACGGUGUGACGCCUGCCCGGUGCCGGAAGGUUAAUUGAUGGGGUUAGCGGUAACGCGAAGCUCUUGAUCGAAGCCCCGGUAAACGGCGGCCGUAACUAUAACGGUCCUAAGGUAGCGAAAUUCCUUGUCGGGUAAGUUCCGACCUGCACGAAUGGCGUAAUGAUGGCCAGGCUGUCUCCACCCGAGACUCAGUGAAAUUGAACUCGCUGUGAAGAUGCAGUGUACCCGCGGCAAGACGGAAAGACCCCGUGAACCUUUACUAUAGCUUGACACUGAACAUUGAGCCUUGAUGUGUAGGAUAGGUGGGAGGCUUUGAAGUGUGGACGCCAGUCUGCAUGGAGCCGACCUUGAAAUACCACCCUUUAAUGUUUGAUGUUCUAACGUUGGCCCGUAAUCCGGGUUGCGGACAGUGUCUGGUGGGUAGUUUGACUGGGGCGGUCUCCUCCUAAAGAGUAACGGAGGAGCACGAAGGUUGGCUAAUCCUGGUCGGACAUCAGGAGGUUAGUGCAAUGGCAUAAGCCAGCUUGACUGCGAGCGUGACGGCGCGAGCAGGUGCGAAAGCAGGUCAUAGUGAUCCGGUGGUUCUGAAUGGAAGGGCCAUCGCUCAACGGAUAAAAGGUACUCCGGGGAUAACAGGCUGAUACCGCCCAAGAGUUCAUAUCGACGGCGGUGUUUGGCACCUCGAUGUCGGCUCAUCACAUCCUGGGGCUGAAGUAGGUCCCAAGGGUAUGGCUGUUCGCCAUUUAAAGUGGUACGCGAGCUGGGUUUAGAACGUCGUGAGACAGUUCGGUCCCUAUCUGCCGUGGGCGCUGGAGAACUGAGGGGGGCUGCUCCUAGUACGAGAGGACCGGAGUGGACGCAUCACUGGUGUUCGGGUUGUCAUGCCAAUGGCACUGCCCGGUAGCUAAAUGCGGAAGAGAUAAGUGCUGAAAGCAUCUAAGCACGAAACUUGCCCCGAGAUGAGUUCUCCCUGAGACUUAGAGUCUCCUGAAGGAACGUUGAAGACGACGACGUUGAUAGGCCGGGUGUGUAAGCGCAGCGAUGCGUUGAGCUAACCGGUACUAAUGAACCGUGAGGCUUAACCUU
rnacentral:rRNA from 1 species